rnacentral:rRNA from 1 species
GAUACCCUAUUAUUUUAAAUGUGAUUUUGUUAGCUAAAAUUAUUAUUAGUUAAGUUCUUUAAAAUUAAAAAUUUUGGCGGUAUUUUAGUCUUUUCAGAGGAACCUGUUUAUUAAUUGAUAUUCCACGAUAAAUUUUACUUAAACUUUAAAUUUAUAUAUCGUCGUUUAUAAAGAUUUUAUUAGAAUUUGAAUUUUUAAUAUUUUAAAUUAAAUAUUAAUUCAGAUCAAGGUGUAGUUUAUGGUUAAGUAUAAAUGGGUUACAUUAAAUUAAUUUUUGGUUUUAAAAUUGAAAAUUUUGAAUAAAUUGGAUUUGAAAGUAAUUUUUAGAUUUUUAUAUAAUGAUUUAGCUCUAAAAUAUGCACACAUCGCC